GCCACUGUUCGCAGGCCGGCCGCUCGCCGUGGACGUAGUAGUGGUGUAGGAAGUGCCUGGCGCUGCGGCAGAGCUUCCACUCGGCGCGGUAGGCCUCGCAGGGGCGCGGCGGCUGCGGCGAGAGGCGGCGCCUGAGCGGGGCCCGGCGGCCGCGCCCUACGCCCCGAGCCAGUCCCGUUCCCUCCCUCCGGAAGACCCCGGUGGUUCCCGGCUCCGACCCAGCACACUCACCUGCCAGCCGCUGCCGUCCGCCAUGUCUGGGCGACCGGCGCGCCAAGCCCGCCCCUCAGUCCGCCAGCCAAUGAAAAAUGAAGAAAACGGCACCUCGUGAUCGACUGACAGAAGAACUAAUGAGCACCGACACAUUCAAUCACGUCUUCGCCCCCUUCUUCGAGAAGCGCCGACAAACAGGACGAGCAACCAAUAGCAACCGAGGGCGGCUGCGGCGCGCGCGGAGGGCCGGGGUCGCAGGGUAAAUCCGGGGCGAGACCUGGCGCGAAGCCUACGCGACCACCGCGACGACAGCGCCAUUCACCCCGGGCCAGGCGGGCAUCCUGGGCCGCGCAGCUACCUUACGUCAGCCGCCUCUCAAAUCACACGGCUCUGGCCAGUUCUUUUCAGCAGCUUUAUGAGAUUUUCUCAAAUCUCAACAAUCCGGUAUAUUUUCAAAAGUACAUACUGAGCAUCAAGGUGGUGCAGCGAACCUCCCAGAUCUGCAGCUCCAGCAGUCUUGCUUGAGCGUCCACUCAGGAUGGAGGUGAACUCGCAAAGUAACUGAGAUUGGUUGGGCAUGACAUAUGGUGGAUCUAGGGUUGAAUGACCUCCCCAGGGAACGCAGGCUUGAAGUGGAGGCUGAGAAUGCAAUCCGAGUACAGCCAUAGGCCGGUCAAAGGAAGAAGAGGAUUCUGGAAUGUUCAACACACAUCCCUGCACCUGGCUCCCCACUAACUGUAGCAUGUUAUACCUGCAAUAGAGCACUGUUUAGUA
rnacentral:lncRNA from 1 species